CUUUUUCACAGCAGACUUACUAGCUAUCUGUGAAGAGUGAUACUUGUAUGUUUGUUAAUAUCACUUAUCAUAGCCUCCCAGGUAGCUACUAAGUGUGCUGUGAUAUUAACAAAUAUCACUUUUCACAGCAAGCCCAGGACCCGCUAAGCCCUGGAUGGGGCUAAAGGGGGAGGCAGCAUUAUUUUUGUUAUUGAGUCUGCCAAAAAACCCUACCGAUAUACAUUACAAUGAUUUGGAAGUGUAUCUGUGCAUAUUUAAUUGUUUUUCCUAAAGUUAAUUAAGUAUUUUAGGGAAAAAAGUGUCAGUGUGGCCACCAGUGAGAGUUGGGGGCCACACUCUGAGGCUAUCAAAAAUUUUGUUGCAAGAACCCCUGGCCUAGAGCCCUUCCCUUAGCCACACAUUUCACUGACCAUUCAUAGCAAUAUAUUUCACUGCGCUUCUCAGUUAGUGCUCUGAUACCAGCAUGAUGGACUCAGUAUAAAAACCUGAAGAGGAAAUUCAGCUAAAUUAGUAAUAUAGCUAACCCUGCACAUUUUAGGAGCUUGGUAGAUUUUUUGCUAAUAUAGUCAGUUUGAGAGUUUCAAAGGCUCAUAACUUUGUAAAUCAACACCAAGAAUUUAGUCAUUAAGAUUUUUAAUAAGGUUUUAUUACUAUAGAAUAAUAUUAUGCAGUGUUCAUUACUGUAUUUUCUGGUUUGCUUCCAGGCAACUUGAUUUCUAUCCAUGUUCUAGUGCUUAAGGAUGUGUUCAUGUAUGCUGUGGCCUGGAUUUAUCAAAGAAAGACUGAGCUAUCCUUAACUAUGGAGACAUUGCUAAGAAGCUCAAGGACUAUGAACUUUUGGGACCUCGUGAAAGGAAUUUGUUACAUGAGCCCUCAGGAAAUGCACAAGGUCAGAAUUAUGGUAUCUGGAUUACAAAAUCUGAGAGAAAGCAAACAUCACAAUAACUGCAGUUCCUGGGCCAGAAUGCUUACUCGACAGGUUCCUGAGCUAGUGUGCAGAAUACACUGCAUUUAAAUGGCUGCUUCAGUUCCCCGUGCAAGCUGUCAGCGUGGGAGGGCCACUUCUUCUCUGAGUAAUCCCCACUCCAAUCCUACAUCUCCUGAGAAUUCCUACUAUGAAGGUGAAUCAUGCUGGAAGGAACAGACUUGGAACUGCUGCUGAUUCCCCCUAUAAACACUUAAAAGAAGUGAGUUCAGAGCUACACAAAUGUAAUUUGGACUUCGUUUCAGAUGCUUUUAAAAAAGGCAAAUAUCUAUACUAAAAAAAGCUUAUUAAAAUAUAUAUAAUUUUUGCAGGCACCUUUCUUAUGGAGUAAACCCUUUUGGUGUUUUAGAAAAAUGUGUUUUAAAUAGUUCAAUUAUUUCAAUUAGUUACUGUGAAUAAGCAGUUACAUUGUAGAACAAGGUUUUGUUUUGAAGCAAUAGUGACAUCACAAACAAGUCUGUUAAUUGUAACACACCCAUUGAUUCCAAUAGGCUUUGGGUCAGGCCCUAGGAAAACAAAUUAAGUAGUAACCUCUUUUAUUCUUUCAUGACAUUGCCUCUGUAGAUCCCCACUGAAUAUACUAGCAACUAGUGGCAAUCCUCAAGACGAGGACUGAGGAGGAAGACUCAUGUGAAAAGUGACUGACACACUGCUCUUCCAAAUGGAACAUCCAUUCUGAUCUGGACUUGGUAUGGACAAAAUAAUACUUUGCAAAUGUAUGAUCUGAGCACCAAGUAGCAGCCAGCAGAUCUCAGUGAACAAAUGCUGCAGAAGCUGCCACUUUCGCCCAAAUCCCAAUAGUAGAAGAGGUUUGAGUCAAAGGUACAGUUACUUCAUCAAGAUCAUAUCCUGUCUUGAUCCAUUCAGAUCGCAUCUGGACUAAAACUGAUUGGCCCUUACCUCUUCCACCAAAAGCCCCAAACCAUUUUGAGGCCUUUUUAAAAGGCUUUGUCCUAUUGAGGAAUUAACAGAGAGCCCUUUUAAUAUGCAAGGUGUACAGAUUAAGGUGGAUUGCAAAAUCAGGAGGCUUAGAAAAUACUGGUCAAAAAGGUCUGAUUUAAAUGAAAAUCC
rnacentral:lncRNA from 1 species